GGGGGGGGGCCGCCCCCACAACAGGGGUUCCAAGGGGGGUGGGGNCCAAUCAAUCGUAUAGGUAACCUCCGAAGGAUCAUACCCGAGUUGAUUCGGGGUCCGUCCCGAUCCUCCCACCCUUUGUAUACCCUACCUCUGUUGCCUUGGCGGGCCGCGCUCUUACGCGGCCGCCCCCCGAUUUUGGGGGGUGGCUAGUGCCCGCCAGAGGACUAUCAAACUCCAGUCAGUAAACGUUGCAGUCUGAAAAAAAUAUUAAAUAAACUAAAACUUUCAACAACGGAUCUCUUGGUUCUGGCAUCGAUGAAGAACGCAGCGAAAAUGCGAUAAGUAAUGUGAAUUGCAGAAUUCAGUGAAUCAUCGAAUCUUUGAACGCACAUUGCGCCCCUUGGUAUUCCGGGGGGCAUGCCUGUUCGAGCGUCAUUUCAACCCUCAAACUCUGCUUGGUAUUGGGCACCGUCCUUUGCGGGCGCGCCUCAAAGACCUCGGCGGUGGCGUCUUGCCUCAAGCGUAGUAGAAUACACCUCGCAUCGGAGCGUAAGGCGUCGCCCGCCGGACGAACCUUCUGAACUUUUCUCAAGGCUGACCUCGGAUCAGGUAGGGAUACCCGCUGAACUUAGCAUAUCNAUAGCGGAGGAACCUNCGGAUCCCCNUCCCG
rnacentral:rRNA from 1 species